AACGAACGCUGGCGGCAUGCCUAACACAUGCAAGUCGAACGAGACCUUCGGGUCUAGUGGCGCACGGGUGCGUAACGCGUGGGAACCUGCCCUUAGGUUCGGAAUAACUCCCCGAAAGGGGUGCUAAUACCGGAUAAUGUCUUCGGACCAAAGAUUUAUCGCCUUUGGAUGGGCCCGCGUUGGAUUAGCUAGUUGGUAGGGUAAAAGCCUACCAAGGCGACGAUCCAUAGCUGGUCUGAGAGGAUGAUCAGCCACACUGGGACUGAGACACGGCCCAGACUCCUACGGGAAGCAGCAGUGGGGAAUAUUGGACAAGGGGCGAAAGCCUGAUACAGCAAUGCCGCGUGAGUGAUGAAGGCCUUAGGGUUGUAAAGCUCUUUUACCCGGGAUGAUAAUGACAGUACCGGGAGAAUAAGCUCCGGCUAACUCCGUG
rnacentral:rRNA from 1 species